AGAGUUUGAUUAUGGCUCAGGAUGAACGCUGGCGGCGUGCUUAACACAUGCAAGUCGAACGAAGCCAAAAGGAAGCUUGCUUCUUGAAGCUUAGUGGCGGACGGGUGAGUAACGCGUGAGUAACCUGCCCUUCAGUGGGGAAUAACACAGAGAAAUCUGUGCUAAUACCGCAUAACGUCUUCUUGCCGCAUGACAGGAAGACCAAAGGAUUUAUUCGCUGAAGGAUGGACUCGCGUCCGAUUAGCUAGUUGGUGAGGUAACGGCCCACCAAGGCGACGAUCGGUAGCCGAACUGAGAGGUUGAUCGGCCACAUUGGGACUGAGACACGGCCCAGACUCCUACGGGAGGCAGCAGUGGGGAAUAUUGGGCAAUGGGCGAAAAAGCCUGACCCAGCAACGCCGCGUGAAGGAAGACGGUCUUCGGAUUGUAAACUUCUUUGAUUGGGGAAGAAACAAAUGACCUACCCAAAGAACAAGUCACGGCUAACUACGUGCCAGCCGCCGC
rnacentral:rRNA from 1 species